rnacentral:lncRNA from 10 species
AGGUGUGGUAAUGGUGUUGUGAGAGAGAAUACUCUUACUCUUGAAAGGAGUGCCAAAUGAAGUAUUAAGAGGUGAAAUUUCAUGACAUUGGUACACUACUUUCAGAAGGCUGGGCCAAAAAGAAGAACCUAUCCACAGAGACAUGUUGUUAACACAUAUUCACUGCACCAUUCCUUCAAGUUUUUGUGGUUUUGGCUGCUCCUCUCACACUGAAAGCACAGGGGCCUUGGUCCUUCCAUUGAUUCAUAAGUACAACACCCUACUUCUUGGAUACAGAGCCAUCGCGGAAUGUUCGCUGGAGUGAGGCAGCGUAUGGAGCACAUGGGACAUGCAGACCCAGAUGGACAUCUUACAAACUUUCAGAGGAGCUGAAGCCAGAUUGUGAGUAUACAAUUCUGUUCAGUCAUCUUCUCCGAGAACCCUCUCUCAUCUUUUUUCUCAAAGACUGUCUCAUCCUCCUCUGCAAAUCCAACAGAAAGGACACAGUAGAGUGGGCAAGAAUGCAAAGAAGGUCUGUGGUUUGGAACUGGCCCAAGCCGAACUAAACUUUUCUAAAUAUACAUUAAACUGUCAACAAAGAGCACCGUGACCCACAGCCUGAAUAAAGGGAGAGCCCCAAGGCCCUCUGAAGCCACUAGUUCUGUGAGUUGUUUUAGGGAGAAGACAGACAACCAAGAAUUAUUUACCUUAUUAGACUGUGCCCAUCCAAGCCCAGGUAAAACUUUUUGAUCAGCAGAAAACUGGAAUUAUUUCCCUUUCUCUAUCCUGGAUUGAGUGUGAAUUCCCCAGAGAAACUUGGCUUUGAGAGCACUAGCUGGACAUAUAGGGGUCCAUUUCCAAUCUGCUCUGAGAAGGGCCCUGUCUUCAUCCUAAAGGAAGGCUUUAGAAAACUGUUAUCUAAGAUCUAGGAUUGAAGAUGGUGAGAACCUGAGGCUGAGCAAUUGGCCCCAAUUCUUCCUGAAGCAUUAUCUGAGAGAGAGAGCCUAGCCUGUGGUUUUUGACCCCUGGCAGAAGGGUGGAGAGAGGGAAGAAGAAAGAAGGAAGAUGAAGACAACUUCCUGCUCAAGACCAACCCAUCUCCCCUCAUUCUGGGGUGACCAAUUGAGAAAACAAUGAUAUCUCCCUUACUCUCAUCUGUUUCCAAAGGCUUUGCUUCAUCUACCAAAAAACCGUGUUGAUCCCUAAUGAAUAUCCGGCACCCCGCAUUCCAUCUCGGUGACUGCUUCCAGAAAACACAAGCUGUGACAUGCCCAUUAUGUACUCAAUAAAUCUUUAAUAAUUGAGUGGAUAGAGUGAUGUGAGUUGAGAAGCAUUAUUAAAGAUUAUUUUCCCAAAAAUAAACAAAAAAAAUGUGCCCAUUGGCUGGUGACUAGAAUUCUACAAUUAGAGGUUUAUUCCUUUGUCUUAAUGCUUCUGCUUUUGUAAAUACCCCCGUAAUAAACGCAUGUUAAGUUUAUUAGACACCUAUUCCCCAGUGUAAACAAAGUCCUGGAAGCACAUUCUAACAGGAAGAGAGAGGGAAAAAAGUAUGAGAGCACCAAUGGACAAACAUCAGGAGCAAGUUACCUGGAUUCAGUCCUGGUUCCACCACUUGCUAGAUCUGUGUCAUUAGACCAAUCAAUUGACCUCUCUGUGCCUCCGUUUUUGUUCCUGUAAAAUGGGAACAAUAACUGUAACUACUUCCAAGUAUUGUUAUGAAAAUUGAAUGAGUUAAAAUAUAAAAAUGUUAGAGACUAGGGAAUAUGAGACUAGUCAAUGAAUGUCUAGUGGAGACAAGAAAAAGUGAACAAAAUUAUACAAGUGCUAUUAAUAAUACAGUCAGAUUUAUAUAUUUUUUCCAUCACACUGACCUCCAAUCCAGGCUGGGAAAUGGGUUUUUUAAAUCUCUUGCGUGUUUUCCAUCACUUGAACUACCAUAUUGUUUUACAAUUAUUUGUCUUGUGUCUACUGCCACCCUUACCUCACCACUGUGAGAUCCUUAGAGGUAAAAUAUUCUAUCUUAUUCAUCCUUAUAUCCCCUUCCAUUCAUCCAUUUAUUCUUUUUUUCUAACUUUUAAGUUCAUAGGUACAUGUACAGGUUUGUUACAUAGAUAAACUUGUGUCACGUGGAUUUGUUGUACGGAUUAUUUCAUCACCUAGGUAUUAACUCUAGUACCCAUUAGUUAUUUUUCCUGAUCCUCUCCCUCCUCCCACUCACUACCCUCCAGUAGGCCCCAGUGUGCGUCAUUCCCCUCUAUGUGUCCAUGUGUUCUCAUCACUUAGCUCCCACUUGUAAGUGAAAAUAUGUGGUGUUUGGUUUUCUGUUCCUGUGUUAGUUCGGUAAGGAUAAUGACCUCCAGCUCCAUCCAUGUCCCUGCAAAGGACAUGAUAUCAUUCUUUUUUAUGGCUGCAUGGUAUUCCAUGGUGUAUAUGCACCACAUUUUCUUUAUUCAGUCUAUCAUUAAUUCAUAUGUUCAUUCAUUAAAUAAAUAUUA